rnacentral:lncRNA from 1 species
CUCUCAGGGAUAAGACUACUGGACUACCCAGACGAUCUUUUGCGUGCCUGUUGUUUGCAAGCUCCCCAACUCUAGACCAAGACAGCAAUUUAAAGCAGCUAUAACCCAUUAGAACGUUUACUUCACCUUUACUCUAUCCUAAACUGGAAGUUACUCUUUUUUUUAAAAGAGAACCUCCAAAUCUGAGCACUUCUCACUAAUAAAGCACUCGGUGCCUAACAGGCACCGUCAUUUCACCCUAAAUUCAGUCACCUUGGCAGAUCUUUAUAGUUUAACUCGGUUCGCACGAGGCAGCUGAGCACCCCGCGUUCUCGAGAGUGCUUUGUGGCCUAGACUCGCUCCUUGGAGAUUGCCUUGAAGCGAUUGGUCUCCCUCCGAGGAUCCUGGAAGCCUGAAGUGAGCGAGCAGGGAACGCACUGACACUAGGGAGUCAGACUCUGCGACGUAGCUCAGCAAUGGAGCGCUUGCCUAGCACAGACACGGCACAUCUCUACCCCGGCCACACACAGACACACACAGGUCUUCAGACGGUUUAAGAUUCACAGGCCGCCCCAAAACGUGCUGUGGCCUUUCCACCAGGUCAUUCCCAAAGCGGACAUCCGCUUGGGACUAAGUUUGAAAUGUGAGUAAAAGCUCAGAGAACGGAACCCCGUGUGUUGGGAGAAGUUUUGAGCAUGGCGUGGUGGUUGCAAGCCUAUAAUUCCAGCGCUCUGGAGUCGGGCAGGACUGCCUUGAGUUCGGGGCUUUCCUGGGCUACCCAGGGAUUCUCCUAAUUAAAAAAGUUUGGAAGCGGUGGAGGCUGAUGAGGAUAUAAAUGGACCUCCACCAAUUUCACCGGACACACACACUCCAAAGCAGGAACUCCCAAGAUGGGGUACGCCGCCGCGGCGCAGCAGGUUAUAGCCAAGGAAAGAAGUAAUGAAAGCAGGCCAGGAAACUGGAACACUUUGCCUUAAAGGCUACCUGGAGGGCCAUGGAUUCCCGUCGAAUGCUGGGACCACAGUGGGACAGAAAGGGUUAUGAAAUGAGCCUCCUUGCUGUUGGCCUGCUAAAUUGGCUAAUCCUCCCUAGUGGUACAAGGACAAAGCCAGCUCAGCUACUGAAGCCGCUUCUUGAUGUAGUCUAACCUUGAAACCUGGCCUCCUAGCCAGAACUUCAGGGUGCCAUCAGCACACCUCACUUCUCCGCUCUUGAAGUAGUCUCAGUUCUCGGAGAACUGAGUAUGAGGCCAUCCUCCAAUUGUAAUGCAUCGAGG